UCACUUCUUGCUCCCAAUACUCCAGAGAUGCUCCGGGAAAGGCAUCGAUGAUUGCUCCGCAUCCGGCGCUAAUGAGCGGAAGCGCUCCAUCUGAAAAUGAGACAGAGCAUCCGCGAUGUCAUUAUUAAUGCCAGGUACGAAUUUGGCUGAGAAAUAUAUAUUCUGCUCAAGACACAGAAGGACGAAGGACCGUAACAAAUUUCCCACCCUGGUGGAACGCGCGUACUGUCUAGAAAGAACCGUUACUACUGCCGGGUUAUCUGUGUUGAAACAAACCCUAUGAUUGCGGAACUGCUCUGUCCAAAGAUGUACUGCCACUACAAUAGGGAAAAAAUCCAAGAAUGUAAGGUCCCGAGUAAUGGGCUGGCCCUGCCAGUCUGCAGGCCACUUUUGGGCACUUUUGGCCACUUUUGGGCUGGCCCUGCCAGUCUGCAGGCCACUUUUAGGCAUUACUGCUUCCAACCAUGGAGGCAGAGCACAGCCACCAUGGCUAGUAGCCAUUGACAGCCAUAUCCUCCAUAAUUUUGUUCUACUUCUCUUUCCAAGCCAUCCAAGUUGUUGGCCAUCACUACCACAUGUGGGAGCAAGGUCCAUUGAUUAACUAUGUGCUCUGUGAUGGAGUCGGUUGCCCACAAAUGCUUCCAAUAAUAUCAGCUUCCCCUGGACCCCUUCACUACACCUAGAUGAGGAUGGAAAUUUAUAUUUCCCUCAGCACAUGUCUGUGAUAAUGUUGGUAUCUCACUGUUGCAAUCUCAGCACCAGAAUUCUCUGUUUGGAGGUACACUCCUUCAUCCCAUGGAGAUUACUGUAUGGGUAGAAUUCACCUCUGUUGUGAUGUAAAUUCUAUUCGGUCACUUCCCUCCACUAGGUACCUAUAGAACAUUUUUUUCAGAUGGUUUGCCUGUAUAAGAUCCUCCAAAACAGGCCCUAAAUAUUCACUUUCGGUGCAACUCAAUAACUACCUAUGGACCCGAAAAUACUUACUGAGUUGGUUGACUUUUUUUGUAUCAAGACUGGUUUUGCCUUCUUGAAAUCCCUCAGAUGUUUUGUGAUCUUCGGAUGAAGGGCAGUAUACAAAUUUAAUUGAUAAUGAUGAUGGUGGUGUUCACCCAAACAAGUGAACCUCCAAAUCUGAAUGAUUUUUUCACCGCAGACGAAAACAGGUGGCCUCUUUGAUCUCUUUUGGUUGGCAAAAUUUGAGUGGGAAGCUUUGGAAAGAGCUGGCUUCCAUUGCACAGUUAUUCCACAAUGGGCUGUGUUCAGUUACGUCUGUCCACCAGUGCAAUGGCUCUUGUGCUAGCUGAUGGAUGAGUUUCAAUGAUGCACCAGGGAGGAAUCCGAUGCAACAGUCAACCUAGUGGAAAUGUGAUGCUCAACAGACGGCACAUCUGUUGUGCAACCAAGUUGCCAGCAACCUCUUGCGCAUCAACAUUCCUCUGGUGCAAAACAUUUCACCAGAGGAACAAAUACAAAGCAAAAGGGCUUUAACUUUGUGCUACACUGGCUACAAACCAAUGUUUUGCCAUGGCUGAUAUGUGUUGAUACCACUGAAAACAGAAGGAUGCAAAGCAUUGAUGGUACCUCUUGGGAAUAAUAUUCUGCAUUUGCCUUCAUAUCGCUCUUUUAGCAGCCUCAUUGUGCUAAAAGUAACACGUUGCUCUAGAAGUUUUCAUGGCUGACGGCCAGAACAGGCCAGCCAUUAUGAUAAUAUAUGGAUUAUUAUCAUUCUUUUUCUCCUCCUUAGUUAAAAAAAGAUGAAACUCUGAAGCAGGGAUGAAUAUGGGUUAGAGCUGAAGACUGAGCCAGCUUUUCAAAAUUCAGGUGGGCACAUUUGUCUUGUGAGCUGUUCACCCAGGCCCCAAUUAGUUUUAUAUUAACCUCCUUAAGCAGAGGAUAGCUGUGAUCUUAACACUACUCCAAAAUGGUCUAUUAGCUACCCCAUUUCCUGGAAACGCCUAUAGUAGGUCACCCAGUGGCAACAGCUGAUGAAUUCAGUGAGUUAUAAUGAGUGUCCUAUCUACUGGGAGCUGAGAGAGCACAAGAACAUAGAUAUGUAUUUCAUAUAUGCAUGUUUCUCCAUCUCUCACAGUAUGAAUGUGCAUAUAUGUAGAAGCGCAAUGUCAAC